AUUGAACGCUGGCGGCAGGCCUAACACAUGCAAGUCGAGCGGUUGAGGUAGCUUGCUACCGAUACAGCGGCGGACGGGUGAGUAAUACAUGGGAAUCUGCCUGGUAGUGGGGGACAACGUUUCGAAAGGAACGCUAAUACCGCAUACGCCCUACGGGGGAAAGGGGGGGAUCUUCGGGCCUCUCGCUAUCAGAUGAGCCCAUGUCAGAUUAGCUUGUUGGUGAGGUAAAGGCUCACCAAGGCGACGAUCUGUAACUGGUCUGAGAGGAUGAUCAGUCACACUGGAACUGAGACACGGUCCAGACUCCUACGGGAGGCAGCAGUGGGGAAUAUUGGACAAUGGGCGCAAGCCUGAUCCAGCCAUGCCGCGUGUGUGAAGAAGGCCUUAGGGUUGUAAAGCACUUUCAGUGGGGAGAAAGGCCUUUUACUUAAUACGUAAGAGGAUUGAUGUUACCCACAGAAGAAGCACCGGCUAACUCCGUGCCAGCCGCCGGGGUAA
rnacentral:rRNA from 1 species